rnacentral:rRNA from 1 species
CAGUAGCCGCGGGAAUACGUAGGUGGCAAGCGUUGUCCGGAAUUAUUGGGCGUAAAGCGCGCGCAGGCGGAUAGGUCAGUCUGUCUUAAAAGUUCGGGGCUUAACCCCGUGAUGAGAUGGAAACUGCCAAUCUAGAGUAUCGGAGAGGAAAGUGGAAUUCCUAGUGUAGCGGUGAAAUGCGUAGAUAUUAGGAAGAACACCAGUGGCGAAGGCAGCCUUCUGGGCCAUAACUGACGCUGAGGAGCGAAAGCUAGGGGAGCAAACAGGAUUAGAUACCCCAGUAGUCCCUGUCUCUUAUACA